AGGAUGAACGCUGGCGGUAUGCCUAACACAUGCAAGUCGUACGAGAGUUUUUAACUCUAGUGGCGGACGGGUGAGUAACACGUGAGAAUUUGCCUUUAGGAGGGGGACAACAAUUGGAAACGAAUGCUAAUACCCCAUAUGCUUUCGAGUGAAAUGGAUUUUAUCCGCCUAGAGAGAAGCUCGCGGCUGAUUAGCUUGUUGGUAAGGUAAGAGCUUACCAAGGCGACGAUCAGUAUCUGGUUUGAGAGGACGAUCAGACACACUGGAACUGAGACACGGUCCAGACUCCUACGGGAGGCAGCAGUGGGGAAUUUUCCGCAAUGGGCGAAAGCCUGACGGAGCAAUACCGCGUGAGGGAAGAAUGCCUAUGGGUUGUAAACCUCUUUUUUCAGGGAGGAAUAAAAUGACGUGUACCUGAAGAAUAAGCAUCGGCUAACUCCGUG
rnacentral:rRNA from 1 species